rnacentral:misc_RNA from 1 species
GUACUCUCACACUUCUGAUCCUUUGGAUUUGGAGCAGUGGACUUGGGUGUUGCCGCUUUGCGGUGGCUCACCUCAAAUAGAUUAGUACAACUCUUGGUUGACCAUAGUACGGCGUGAUAAGUAUCUUCGCCGGCACCUCGCAAGAGGGUGGCUGAUCGAGUGCUCUGUGCUUUCAAACCGUCCUCGGACAAUGACUGACA